rnacentral:rRNA from 1 species
UAAGGAAUAUUGGUCAAUGGACGCAAGUCUGAACCAGCCAUGCCGCGUGGAGGAUGAAGGUCCUCUGGAUUGUAAACUUCUUUUAUCUGGGACGAAAAAAGGCUUUUCUAAGUCGACUGACGGUACCAGAUGAAUAAGCACCGGCUAACUCCGUGCCAGCAGCCGCGGUAAUACGGAGGGUGCAAGCGUUAUCCGGAUUCACUGGGUUUAAAGGGUGCGUAGGCGGGUAUGUAAGUCCGUGGUGAAAUCUCCGAGCUUAACUCGGAAACUGCCAUGGGUACUGCGUAUCUUGAAUGUUGUGGAGGUGAGCGGAAUAUGUCAUGUAGCGGUGAAAUGCUUAGAUAUGACAUAGAACACCAAUUGCGAAGGCAGCUCACUACACAAAUAUUGACGCUGAGGCACGAAAGCGUGGGGAUCAAACA